rnacentral:rRNA from 1 species
GACAGAGGGUGCAAACGUUGCUCGGAAUCACUGGGCGUAAAGGGCGUGUAGGCGGGAAGGAAAGUCAGAUGUGAAAUCCCCAGGCUCAACCUGGGAACUGCAUUUGAAACUCCCUUUCUUGAGUACCGGAGAGGAAAGUGGAAUUCCUGGUGUAGAGGUGAAAUUCGUAGAUAUCAGGAGGAACACCAGUGGCGAAGGCGGCUUUCUGGACGGUAACUGACGCUGAGACGCGAAAGCGUGGGGGAGCAAACAGG